AACGCACCUUGCGCUCUUGGGUUAUUCCUAAGAGCAUGCUUGUUUGAGUGUCACGUACCUCUCCACCCCGCCUUGUCUUCGAACAAGGUUGUUUAGGGCUUGGGAUCAUGGGGCGCCUGUUGUUUUAAAGACAACUGCCCUGAAAUACAAGGAGCUGAAUCUCAUGUUUGCGGCUUGACCCGUUGUUAUAAAGUUGUAAUGACCCCCCAAUGGGAACGCAAAACAGAAGGAGCUUACCCAAAACUUUAAUUUAUAAAACACUUUGACCUCAAAUCAAGCAGGACUACCCGCUGAACUUAA
rnacentral:misc_RNA from 1 species